CAAUGAGACCACACAGAAACCCUAGAUUUAUAAUAAAUUUCAUGCGUUUUCUUCUGCUUUCUUAAUCUUUUGAGUCUACAAAGCGUUGUUGCACUUCAAAUUCUCUCAAAAUGAACGCUUGAAAAAUGUGAAAGGCGUACGACAUCUGAUGGUCUCAAUUGCACCAUCAAGAUUGUCCUUAACAUAGCGGUUCCAAGCGGCUUGGGUGGCCCUGGUCUACCUAGGGAGGAACUUUUCAAUGUGGAUGCUUCUUGAGAGAACAAGGUUUACUUUAGAUGGCUUUGAAUCUGACAAAAUUGGUGUCAAUUAUGAGGCUUUCAAUGGGCAGCCAAGUUUCUGCACUUCACCAUUUUGGACUAGCUUGCGCAACCAGUUGUGGAACUAUUGGGAAGUUUGUAUACGUAACUGAAAAGUAGUGCCUUUCUUCUAGUGGUAUGUGUUUUUGUUUAUCUCUUGUUGAUCUUUUCUUUUCAUUACUUUUUAUUAGGCCACUAGCCCUGAUGUGUGCUGCUGCAUAUGUGUCCACAAUUUUGUUUUCUUUUGUACCUUGACUAGGUUUUAAUAUCGUUUACUCUCUAUUUAAGGCGAAAACUUUUUUUUUACAACUUUUAGGAGGGCAGGGUAGCAUUUAUUGGAAUGUACCAUUUAGCUUCUGAAUAAUUUAUAUGUGUUCAAUUUUCUUGUGGACUUGCAGUUCUUUUAAAUUGAAAACAGAAAGGUUUCCUUGUAUCUGAGAAUUUGUGUUGCUUCUGACAGGCCUAUCAGAAUCGCAUUGAUAGGAAUCAGCCACCACUGUAUGUGUGGAAGCAAGUCAUGGAAGGAUAAACCAGUAUCCAAAUUUGGGGUCUCAUUCAUUUUCCAUUGGAGUCAGUGAAGUUCUUAAUACAAAUAUCAUGUUAGAAUCAAGUGCUGAUGAUGAUAUGGAAUAUGUCUACCAAAGGUUAAAAUUAAUCCCCCAUGAUCAAUUUCUACUUCUAUUUACUUGAGUUUGUA